rnacentral:rRNA from 1 species
GCACAAGCGGUGAUGAUGUGGAUUAAUUCGAUGCAACGCGAAAAACCUUACCUACCCUUGACAUGUCUGGAACCUUGGUGAGAGCCGAGGGUGCCUUCGGGAGCCAGAACACAGGUGCUGCAUGGCUGUCGUCAGCUCGUGUCGUGAGAUUGUUGGGUUAAGUCCCGCAACGAGCGCAACCCUUUGUCAUUAGUUGCCAUCAUUUGGUUGGGCACUCUAAUGAGACUGCCGGUGACAAACCGGAGGAAGGUGGGGAUGACGUCAAGUCCUCAUGGCCCUUAUGGGUAGGGCUUCACACGUCAUACAAUGGUCGGUACAGAGGGUUGCCAACCCGCGAGGGGGAGCUAAUCCCACAAAGCCGAUCGUAGUCCGGAUCGCAGUCUGCAACUCGACUGCGUGAAGUCGGAAUCGCUAGUAAUCGUGGAUCAGCAUGUCACGGUGAAUACGUUCCCGGGUCUU